rnacentral:rRNA from 1 species
AACGGCCGCGGUAUCCUAACCGUGCAAAGGUAGCAUAAUCACUUGCCUAUUAAUUGUAGGCUAGAAUGAAAGGGUUAACGAAAUAAAGACUGUCUCAAUUAGUAAACUAAAAAUUAUUCUCUAUCUGAAGAAAGGUAGAUAGCCUCGAAGGACAAGAAGACCCUAUAGAGCUUAAUUUUACUUAUAGAAUUAUACUAUAUAAAAUAUUCGGUUGGGGCGACCCAGGGUAAAACAAUCACCCAUACUAUAAAAGAUAUAUUAAUCAAAUAGCUGACCCUUUAAAGAUCACAAGAACAAGCUACCUUAGGGAUAACAGGCUAAUCCCACUCAAGAGUCCUUAUCAACAGUGGGGUUUGGCACCUCGAUGUUGGCUUAGG